rnacentral:tRNA from 1 species
ACUAUUGUGGCAGAGUCGUUUAAUGCAGGAGACCUAAGCCCUCCCACGCAAGAGUUCAAAUCUCUUCAAUAGUA